rnacentral:lncRNA from 10 species
AAUGUUUCUCUACGAUUUUUUUUAAUGGGAUAUAUAGGAUUUCUCUUAAAUUAAUAUAAGCAGCAUCUACUACAUUCACUUAGAACACUAGAUAUUACCACCCAUGAUAGACCAUCUAAAUGAGAAAACUGCUUCUCUUCUCAAAUUUCAUAGAAUGUCCAUGCUGGUUUCCAAAGCACAUGGCAUCUACCUUCAGUAAGCAACACAGAAUAUUAGAACACCAGAGUUCAAGUUCGUAUCUAUACACUCUUCAGCUCCAACUAAGAGGGCCUAAGGGACAGACUGUUCAUCAAUGACUGUAGACUAAUGGUUUUCACCCCUUCAGGCCCACAGCCACUUUUUAUCAGAAAUAUUUUUAAACAUGUUUUAUUAUUCUAAAACACAAACAAUAUAACUUACGUGAGGCAUAUUUUUAAAUCAUCUAUCAUGAUUAAAGGUAUCUUUAAUAUCUAACUGUAAUGUAACAGACAAAUAAAAGGAAGCAACUUACGGUAAUGUGUAAUUCAAACUGGAGAUGGCCAAAACUCCUGAUGACACAAUCAUUAGAUGCUUGCACAUGUACAUAUAAUUACCAUUAAUGUGCCCACUACAAAUGCAGACUACUGCAGUAGUUUUGACCUGGAACUCAAAUGCCAUGAGCAAUGUUGCCACUAGUGACAGUUUUUAAAAUGAUAGAAAACUCUUGGUUACGUACUGAACAAAGACUACGACCUUCCCUCACUUAACUGGUAAUUGCAUUUUUGAGCAAAUCAAGUACUGCAGAUCUACAACAAAAAUAUAAAAUGGAGUUAUAAUCUAAGCUCAAAAAAUUAUUGUCAAUGUCCACCCGUCAGAGAUCAUGAGGAACAGAUCUGCAGUUGAAUCGAGUUGGGUUUAUCAGCACACUUUUACACAAGAGAGAUCACACACCAUGGGGAACCAUGGGGUGCCUCAGUAUGAGGGUGCUGGGAAGGGCUUUUUAAAGGAUUUGGGGUUGUGUUGGGUG